UACGGAGGGUGCAAGCGUUAAUCGGAAUUACUGGGCGUAAAGCGCACGCAGGCGGUCUGUCAAGUCGGAUGUGAAAUCCCCGGGCUCAACCUGGGAACUGCAUCCGAAACUAUCAGUCUGGAGUUCGAGAGAGGUGAGUGGAAUUCCGAGUGUAGAGGUGAAAUUCGUAGAUAUUCGGAGGAACACCAGUGGCGAAGGCGACUCUCUGGUCUGUAACUGACGCUGAGGCGCGAAAGCGUGGGGAGCAAACAGG
rnacentral:misc_RNA from 1 species